UUUUUCACAGACUGUAAACCCUAAUUGCUUGGCGGCAAGAAACCCUACGCCCACAAUUUAGCCAUUCUCUCUGUGAUGUCGAAGAAGAAACAGAGAAAUGCCAAGAAAAAAGUGAGAAAGAUUAACGUCUUCGGGAAACCAAAGCACUCCCUUGACGUCAACAGGAGCAAUGUCGUUAAAAAAGAGUGGCGGUCUGCUGCCACCAUUCGCCGUCUUAAAAUGUACAGAACCAAACCCGUACGUAACAGAAAGGGAAAAGUCUUACACAACGAGUUUCAGUCCAAGGAUCUCCCCAGCACAAGAAUUCAAUCUGAUCCUCGUUGGUUCGGAAAAACUUGAGUUUUUGAGAGAAGAAAUGGAGAAACAUAGGUCAAAUAAUUAUAAUGUUAUUAUCAAGGGGAAGAAUUUGCCGAUGUGAUUUUUCAAAUGAUCACCAGAAGCUUGCAGGUGACACGUAGAGAUGGAGCAUCAUUCUAGUUUUACAUUUGCUUGGCGACUUUGCUAUUUUUAUUAUGUUUUAUUGACUUGCAUGUCAAGUACUUUAUAUUGAGAUUUUACCUCGUUUUGAUUGGUGACAUCGGGGUUGGUUAUUUUAUUCAGUAUUUUCAAAAACAAUGUCUGAAUUUCUUGAGAAUGAUUCCAUGUGUUUGAUGAAA